GGAAAACAUUAAAAACAAAAUUGGCCAAAUAAUUAGAAGAAUCAACCUUUUCAUAUUUUUCAAUUACAUUUGAACAUUUUAAGUUUGACAAUUUUGGUUCAAUCUAAAAUUUUACUUUUAGGAUGAAACAAUAACUAUCUAUUUAUUAGAAACCCAAAUCCAAUCUCAGAACCCAAGUGUUGUGGGUAGAAGGUCUAAGAGGUUAUAAGGAGACCCCAAUGUUUAAAAGCAGG
rnacentral:misc_RNA from 1 species